rnacentral:sRNA from 1 species
CUUUGCGGUUCCAACAUGGCGGAGCUGACGGUGGAGGUUCGCGGCUCCAACGGGGCUUUCUACAAGGGAUUUAUCAAAGAUGUUCAUGAAGACUCCCUUACAGUUGUUUUUGAAAAUAAUUGGCAACCAGAACGCCAAGUUCCAUUUAAUGAAGUUAGAUUACCACCACCACCUGAUAUAAAAAAAGAAAUUAGUGAAGGAGAUGAAGUAGAGGUAUAUUCAAGAGCAAAUGACCAAGAGCCAUGUGGGUGGUGGUUGGCUAAAGUUCGGAUGAUGAAAGGAGAAGUAAGUACUCUUCACACUUGCUUUGUGACUAGUUUCUAAGGAAGUACCUCAGUGCUUGGUUUUUGUAAAUCUUAUUUCAACUGUUAGUUUUAUUUCUGAAAGCCUACCUGAGAAAUAGUUGAUCAGACAUUUCCAUUAGCAUUAAUUUCUGUUUGUGUUCUGUAUUGGCAAACACCAAAGCUGCUCUCCAGAGGUACACCUCAAGCAUGUAAGGACCACCAAGGUUCAUGCUUGUAAGAACCUAUAAUCUAGUUUA